rnacentral:rRNA from 1 species
UACGUAGGGUCCGAGCGUUGUCCGGAAUUAUUGGGCGUAAAGGGCUCGUAGGCGGUCCGUCACGUCGGGAGUGAAAACUCAGGGCUCAACCCUGAGCGUGCUUCCGAUACGGGCGGACUAGAGGUAUGCAGGGGAGAACGGAAUUCCUGGUGUAGCGGUGGAAUGCGCAGAUAUCAGGAGGAACACCGGUGGCGAAGGCGGGUCUCUGGGCAAUAACUGACGCUGAGGAGCGAAAGCGUGGGGAGCGAACAGG